GAUGAACGCUGGCGGCGUGCCUAAUACAUGCAAGUCGAGCGAACAGAUGAGGAGCUUGCUCCUCUGACGUUAGCGGCGGACGGGUGAGUAACACGUGGAUAACCUACCUAUAAGACUGGGAUAACUUCGGGAAACCGGAGCUAAUACCGGAUAAUAUAUUGAACCGCAUGGUUCAAUAGUGAAAGACGGUUUUGCUGUCACUUAUAGAUGGAUCCGCGCCGCAUUAGCUAGUUGGUAAGGUAACGGCUUACCAAGGCAACGAUGCGUAGCCGACCUGAGAGGGUGAUCGGCCACACUGGAACUGAGACACGGUCCAGACUCCUACGAGAGGCAGCAGUAGGGUAUCUUCCGCAAUGGGCGAAAGCCUGACGGAGCAACGCCGCGUGAGUGAUGAAGGUCUUCGGAUCGUAAAACUCUGUUAUUAGGGAAGAACAAAUGUGUAAGUAACUAUGCACGUCUUGACGGUACCUAAUCAGAAAGCCACGGCUAACUACGUG
rnacentral:rRNA from 1 species